GGGCAGGGUCAGAUUCAAGAGGAGGGGACUAAAUGAGGGGAACACCAGAGGGAGUUGUUCAUUAGUAUCAUCAAUAUUAUGUGGAUGAGAAGCCCAGGUACAAUUGGGCUGAGUCUUUUGAUUCAAUGUCUCUCAUGGGCUAUGAUGAAGUUCCCAGCCAGGGGUGUGGUCUCAUCUGAAUGUUCAAGUGGAAAAGGAUCUGCUUCCAAGCUCACUCACAUUAUUGGCAGAAUUCAUUUUUUCAAGAGUUUUUUCCUUGUUGGUUGUGAGUUGAAGCCACCCUCAGUUCCUUGCCAUGUGGCACUUAUUUUCCAUAGUGUAGCUCUCAACAUAACAGAAUAUGUCAUCAAAAUUAGCAAGGAAGAGGAAGUCCUAGUAAGACACAGGAUAUAAUCUUACGUAAUGUAGUCACAGAGUGACACCCCAUCACCUUUGCUAUAGUCUGUUGGUUAGAAGCAGGCCACAGUUCCUGUCCACAUUCAAGGAGAUUGUACAAGGGGUGAAUAUCAAAGGAGGGAAUAAUUGGGAACUGUUUUAGAGUCUGUCUGCCACACCAGCCUCCUCAUUGAGAGACAAUUAAACUGUUUACAUCAUACAU
rnacentral:lncRNA from 1 species